rnacentral:tRNA from 1 species
UCUACCAAAGGAUAAUAGUAUUCCACUGGUCUUAGGCACC